rnacentral:rRNA from 1 species
UACGUAGGGGGCAAGCGUUGUCCGGAUUCAUUGGGCGUAAAGAGCGUGUAGGCGGCCUGGUAGGUCGGUUGUGAAAACUGGAGGCUCAACCUUCAGAGGUCGACCGAAACCAUCUGGCUAGAGUCCGGGAGAGGAGAGUGGAAUUCCUGGUGUAGCGGUGAAAUGCGCAGAUAUCAGGAAGAACACCCGUGGCGAAAGCGGCUCUCUGGAACGGUACUGACGCUGAGACGCGAAAGCGUGGGGAGCGAACAGG